GGUCCGGGUCGGCGGCUGCACGGCGGAUGAGACCGGUGCGACUCAUGAAGGUGUUCGUCACCCGCAGGAUACCCGCCGAGGGCAGGGUCGCGCUCGCCCGGGCGGCAGAUGGUGGCUGGACCUCGUGGAAGCCCCUCUGGCUGUGUGGCUAUGGACUCACGCAGAGCACUGUCGGCAUCAUCGGGCUGGGGCGCAUAGGCCAGGCCAUUGCUCGGCGUCUGAAACCAUUUGGUGUCCAGAGAUUUCUGUACACAGGGCGCCAGCCCAGGCCUGAGGAAGCAGCGGAAUUCCAGGCAGAGUUUGUGUCUACCCCUGAGCUGGCUGCCCAGUCUGAUUUCAUCGUCGUGGCCUGCUCCUUAACGCCUGCAACUGAGGGACUCUGCAACAAGGACUUCUUCCAGAAGAUGAAGGAAACAGCUGUGUUCAUCAACAUCAGCAGGGGUGACGUCGUAAACCAGGACGACCUGUACCAGGCCUUGGCCAGUGGUAAGAUUGCAGCUGCUGGACUGGAUGUGACGAGCCCAGAACCACUGCCUACAAACCACCCUCUCCUGACCCUGAAGAACUGUGUGAUCCUGCCCCACAUUGGCAGUGCCACCCAC
rnacentral:sRNA from 1 species